GGUUAUACAGUGCGAUGUUUUGACAUGCAUCUGCAGUGUGAAAUGAUUAUUACAACCAAGCUAACGAACACAGUUAUCACCUCCCAUAUUUGCUGUGUGUGUGUGUGUGUGUGUGUGUGUGUGAGACAGGAGCACGAAAGGUCUGAUCUCAGCAAAUCUCAAGUAUACGAUACAGUUUUAUUAACUCCAGUCACUGUGCUGUACAUUAGAUUCCAGGAACUUUAAACAGGCGCUCACGUGACUUAGCUAGAGAUUAAAUGGGCAUCUGGGAAGUCGUCACUUUUAUAAUCUCCCAUGGUUUCCCGGGCUAUAGGGAUCGCACCCUUGCCACCGCAGUAAACCAGAGCCACAACCGAGACAAUGCCGGACCCCCAACCCACUGAGCCGCUAGGAGCCCCUGUCUUCCAUGCUUGACUUUACCUUUGACGUCAAGAUGACGUUCCUAACGUUACUUGCAAUGUGAGCUGUGAACUAGGAGUUGAACAGUGAUGGAAGAAUGAAACUAAAGGUGUCUCUCGGAGUUCCCAUGGUGGCUCAGUGGUAAGGAACCUAACUAGGAUCCAUGAGGCCUCGGACUGGAUCCCUGGCCUUGCUCAGUGGGUUGAGGAUCCAGCGUUGCAAUGAGCUGUGGUGUAGGUCGAAGAUGCAGCUGCAGCUCUGACUUGACCCCCAGCCUGGGAAUGUCCAUAUGCGGCAGGUGCAGCCCUAAAAAGACAAACAAACAAAUAUAUAAACAUGUCACGCAUUCCAAGUGUUCUUUUGGGGAAUAAUAUGAGGAACAAAUCAAUAUGGGCUUACAGGGACACACACACUGUAUAUAUAUAUAUAUAUAUGUGUGUGUGUAUAUACACACACACACUGACAUACAGACACGUGCGCAUUUACACAUAAGUACCCACAAACGUAUAUACAUAUUCACACACGCAUACACAUAUACACAUAUACAUCCUAUCCUUCUUUCAAAUUCCUUGAAGAAUUUCAGACGAGAGCCUUUUUAGACUUUAUACACCAAACAUUGGCGCACUGGACCUUACUCACCUCCUGUGGCCCACUCUUGCUCACAUCAUUUAUCUUUUUGAUUAAUGUCCUGAGUUUAGAGAAAGCUUCCAGAAGUUUCUGCAGGCUCCAGAAUCACUUGCGAACACACACAAGAGCCUCCGUCAUUUUCGUCAAACCUCACGUAUUUCUGAAACUCAUCUCCGACCAGCAUCAUUCCUUCCUUUUUGGUGUCUGGUUUGUCUCUGACCUACAUUUUCCUUGUACUCAGACUCUCAGGCUCUCCCAUCUUCCAGGAGCUUCUCUGGUUCCACCGCCCGAGGAGAUUCCCUUCCAUCGGGUUUAACGUGGAUGGGAGAGGAGCUGUGUUCCACUGGCCGGGGUCUGGUUUAGCGCUGUCGUCGUUUCUCACGCGGAGCCUUAGCCAGACACAAAGGCACUUGGGCAGGGAGAUGCUCAGAUGCACUCAUUUACUACCUCAAUAUACAGGGUAUUCAUUUACUACCUAAAUAUGCAUGCAAACCUACAUCAGUGCCAGUAAGCAGAUGAUGUAAUCCUUAAAAUUGCGAAUGAAGUGAAAAAUGACCAGCCAGAUUUCAAACUGAACUAGAAAGUUCACUUUUAAAAAGCGAAAUAGGGGUUCCCGCUGUGUUGAGAUCAGCAGCAUCUUGGGAACAAGUGUGAUGCCGGCCCGGCACCGUGGGUUAGGGAUUCGGUGUUGCUGCAGCUGUGGCUUAACAGCAGCUUGGAUCUGAUCCCUGGCCUGGGAACGCCACAUGCCAUGUGGUGGUCAAAAAUGAAGGGGAAAAAGGGUAAAUGAAUUUGGUCGAAAAAGUCCAGUUCAUUUCAAGGAGCUGGAUUUAGACCUGGUCGUGAUCCCAAUCCCGCCCUACCUCUGACCCAUGGACAAAGCACUGGCAUGGCUGGCCUGGCGUCCUGGCUUCCAUGGGAGAUGAGGUCACUGGGUCGGGUCAUUUAUGUCCUGCCCUGGGGUCGCUGCUCCCCGGGAGCCGACCUCCGGUGUCACAGUCGAGAGGUUUGCUCUCAGAUUAGCGUCUGUCCAGGGCGACCGUGUCUCAGGCCUUCCUCAGUCCGUAAGUGGAUUCUCUCAUCUGCUUCACUAGGAAGGAAAUACACCAGCACUGGCUAUUGUGUUCCUGGUACAUAUUUGUGUCUUUUCUUCUUUUUCCAUAGAUUACAUUGACCUUGGCAUGGAAAGAAAUGCAAAGCACACAAUUCCUGGAAAACAAUUACAAAGACUGACAAAGUGCUUUGCAAUUUUAAGCAAUUUUCACAUGCAUUCCUGUGUUGAAAAUCCUUGCAGAAUCCAUGUGGCAUAAUUGGUACUAUCGCUCCCAUUUUACAGUUGAAAAAAUGUAAGGUCAUCUUAUUUGCCCAAGGUCACACAGCUAAUAAAUAACUAAGCAAGCCAGAACCUAAACUCAGGACUGCUGACUUCCAGACUCUCCGCACCAAACUAAUUCCCUUUUCCCAGAGCCCCGAACUGUGACUUUUGUUACAUCCUAGAAAGUCACCCCUCGGCAGAUUUAAGUCACCCCUUAGCCUCUUCACAUAGGUUAGGACUGACUUUCUCUGUUCUUUCUUUGUGCCAUGGGUUCUUCCUACACCCAUGGCAGGCAGAAGUUCCCAGGCCAAGGGUCAAACCCAUGCCACAGCAGUGAGAAUACCAGGUCCUCAACCGCUAGGCCACCAGGGAACUCUGACUUUCUCUAUUCUUAAAGUUGAUCUAACUUGACUAGCUGCCUGUAUCACAUAUUUUUCCCCAAACAGCCCUUUCUCCAAGACUAAUCCAAAAUUUGGAGAUCUCCAGAGUUAGCUGAGUUAUACAGUUCAACCUCUUGGUGGAGGACAAGGAGCUCUGGUCAGAAAGGCAAGUGAAAGGCUCUUUUCUUUUCUUAGUGUCCUUGGAAGAUGUCCACAGGCUUCGGCCUCGAUGAAUAAGGAAGAAAUGAUUAGACUCAUACUCCUUUUUUUUUUUUUUAAUCUUUUUGGGGCCACACCCGCAGCAUGUGGAGGUUCCCAGGCAAGGGAUCCAAUCAGAGCUGUAGCCACCAGCCUGCGCCACAGCCACAGCCACAGCCACAGCCACGCCAGAUCCAAGCAGCGUCUGUGACCUACACCACAGCUCACGGCAACGCCGGAUCCCUAACCUGCUGAGCAAGGCCAGGGAUCAAACCCGUGUUCUCAUGGAUGCUGGUCAGGUUCGCUAACCACUGAGCCACAGCGGAAACUCCUAGAUUCAUACACCUUUUAACACAAAGAUUUAUACACUUCUCCAGUUUAUAGACUCCUCAGGGUCACCAGAUGGACGAAAAGUGCCUGACGUGUAGUAACGCUUUACAGUUCGUACAGCAAUCCCGUAUCAGUCGUUAAAUCCAUCUUUACAACAAUCCUCUAAGGUAGACGGGAAAGGGCCGUGGCCCUGUUUUGCAGAUGGUCAGAGUGAGGUCACCCAGACUCAGUGGCCGAGCGCCCGCUGCCGCUCCACCCUGAAGCCCAGCCCUCUCUGCUCUUUGCCUCCCUGAGGUUUUUAUCCUUAUCAUUGUGUGCAUAGCUCUAUGGCCAUUUAUCCUUCAACAGUCUUUUAAUGGAAAGACUGGGAAAGUCAGAGUGAUUCUGCUUCAUCUUCUUGCUCUUUUCCUAAUGAAUUCUGCAGGUCAAUUUAUCCUCAGCCAGAAUUCCAGGAAAGCUUCUGCAUCUACUUAGCUGGUGCAUUUGCAUGUCAAGUCUUUAAUUCAGCUGUCAGCUCUUUUUUUUUUUUUUUAACAGUACUUUCAUUAGUAAAUGGUAUUUUGAGGGUCCCACACUAAUCAAGCCGAUUUGAGAUGGGGCAGGAGGGAAGCCCCAAAUGUGAUUUACAGAAGAAUCCUUGAGGAUGUUAAAAGAAUUGUUACCUUACACAUGUGUUUUAAUCACAAUGUGUAGAAUUAGAUUAGUCAAGGUAUUAGUUUUUUGUUGGUUUUUUGUUUUUUUUGUUUUUUGUUUUUGUCUUUUUAGGGCCGCACCCGCCUAUGGCAUAUGGAAGUUCCCAGGCUAGGGGUCAAAUCAGAGCUGUAGGGGAGUUCCCGUUGUGGCACAGUGGUUGACGAAUCCGACUAGGAACCAUGAGGUUGCGGGUUCGGUCCCUGCCCCUUGCUCAGUGGGUUAAUGAUCCGGUGUUGCCAUGAGCUGUGGUGUAGGUUGCAGACGCGGCUCGGAUCCCACGUUGCUGUGGCUCUGGCGUCGGCCGGUAGCUACAGCUCCGAUUCGACCCCUAGCCUGGGAACCUCCAUAUGCCGCGGGAGCGGCCCAAGAAAUAGCAAAAAGACCAAAAAAAAAAAAUCAGAGCUGUAGCUGCUGGCCUACGCCACGGCCUCAGCCUUGCCAGAUCUGAGCUGCCUCUGCGACCUACACCACAGCUCAUGUCAAUGCCAGAUCCCUAACCCACCACAGCUCUCAUGUCAAUGUCUGAUCGAACCUGCAUCCUCAUAGAUACUUGUCAGAUUUGUUUCCACUGAACCACGACAGGAACUCCAAGUUAUUAGUUCUUUCAAAAGAAAAAAGCCAAAGAAUAAGCUUAGAUUCCCUGAUUCUUUUAAGAACAUAUACGGAGUACCUGCUGUGUGCCAGAUGUUGGUCUAGGCAUUAGAAGUGCAGCUGUCCACAUGGUGGACAAAAGAACCUGCCUUCGAGAAGUUUCUGCUCUAGGAGGCAGAUAGAUGGGUUGUCAAGUAUUGUUGGGGGCUGUGGAAGAAGCCACAGGAAGGAAGACAGAGUCCUGGCAAGUGGCUGGUCGGGGAAGGUCUAACCUCUGUUGUUUCGGUUUUUUUGUUUGUUUGUUUGUCUUUUUUUGGCCAUACCUGCAGCAUGAGGAAGCUCCCAGGCCAGGGACUGAACCACAGCAGUGACAACACCAGGUACCUAACCCGCUGUACCAGCAGGGACCUGCAGACCUCUGUCACAGCUCAUCCGCAUCAUGGCAUCAAAAUUUGAUAUCCAUCAAUAUCAUUUUUGAUAACUUACAGCUCCGGAAAAAAUUACAUUUGAAAUUGUCCUCAGCAAGAACCCAGCACUCAGGAGAACACUAACUCCGUGGGGGUGUUAAGAACUACCACUUCCACCCGCAAGUCUCUGGUUUCUUACACACUGGNNNNNNNNNNNNNNNNNNNNNNNNNNUUCAUCUUGGAGUUCCCGUCCAAGACCUCCAAGAUGAAUGAUGGCUCAGUGGUGAGCGACCCCGACUAGCAUCCAUGAGGACUUGGGUUCGAUCCCUGGCCUCUCUCCGUGGGUUAAGGAUCCAGCGUUGCCGUGAGCUGUGGUGUAGGUUGCAGAUGCAGCUUGGAUCCCACGUGGCUGCAGCUCUGAUUCUAGCUGGGAACUUCCAUAUGCCACAGGUGCGGUCAUAGAAAGAGGAAAAAAAAGAAUUACUCAUCCUAGAACCAUUUUUUUCAUGUGUGUCUUGUAUUUUCAUUUUUUUUUUCUAAACUGAAGGGUGUCCAUUCCAUGAGUUUGGGCAACCUAACUUUAUUCUGUAUUUCCCACCCUUUGAACCCUGGAAGGAGAACCCCCCUCUCUCCCACCCUCUGUCUGGGAACCUAACGUCAGCCCUAGAGUGAGGUCACCAACAGAAUCCUCUUCCUGUGCCUGAGGGCUUCUCUUCAAAGCAAAAAUGCACAGCUGCCUUAGACCUCAGGACUAAGGCAGCCUUGCUUUUCUGUUCUGGAAGGUGCGUGCGGUCCCUGGGACUGUCCUCCCCAGGAGACAACAUCUGUUUUCCUUUCUCUCUAGGUGGCAGCACAAAGACAGCAAAAGAACAAGUGACAGUAGGUGCACGCAAGGCUUGGCUACUUCUCAUGUAAUUUAAGUCACUCCCAAAGGGCUACAACUUUUUCUUCUGCACUUUCUAGACCACCAUCAAAUGCCGAAAGAGGUAUUUUAAAGGACUAACCAGGAAUGCUUUCUCUCUGUGAUCAAGACCACCAGUCCCUUCUCACAGUGGCACCUCCCCCGAGGCGACUCUGUCCUGUACCUAGGAAGCUCCCCAGGUGGGAGCCUGCCCCGAGGAUGUCAAGCCAGCCACCCCUCAGCCCCAGCCAGGGCUUGGUAGAUGCAAACUGCUCCAUUUGGAGUGGGUGCACUGAGUUCCUGCUGUGUAUAGCACGGGGAACUCUAUCCUGUCUCUUGGGACAGACCAUGAUGGAAGAUAACAUGAGAAAAAGAAUGCAUAGAUACGUGUGCAUGACUGGGUCACUGUGCUGUACAGCAGAAACUGGCACAACACUGUAAAUCAACUAUAAUUUUUAAAAAUCUUUUUUAAAAAGUGUGGAUUGUCACAGUCUGAUGCUUCAGACUUCAAAACAUUGGGCAGAGAAGGCUCAUGGGGAAAUUCGGGUCAUUUCUUAAGCCUGACCCUGUUGGCUCGCUCUGCUUUCCUGGGGUCAGGAGAGCACUUUUAGGGUUGCCCAUGGUGACUGUAAAUACUUGACUCCACCCUAAAAGCUCUGACAGUCCAAGUUUCUACCUUUGUUUUAAAAAAAAAAAAAAAA
ensembl:lncRNA